AUAUUUUGAUUGUCUGGUUGGUCU
rnacentral:piRNA from 1 species